rnacentral:tRNA from 1 species
GGGUCGUUAGCUCAGUUGGUAGAGCACCGGACUUUUAAUCCGUGGGUCACAGGUUCGAGCCCUGUACGACCUACCA